GAACGGUAGCACAGAGAGCUUGCUCUCGGGUGACGAGUGGCGGACGGGUGAGUAAUGUCUGGGAAACUGCCUGAUGGAGGGGGAUAACUACUGGAAACGGUAGCUAAUACCGCAUAACGUCGCAAGACCAAAGUGGGGGACCUUCGGGCCUCAUGCCAUCAGAUGUGCCCAGAUGGGAUUAGCUAGUAGGUGGGGUAACGGCUCACCUAGGCGACGAUCCCUAGCUGGUCUGAGAGGAUGACCAGCCACACUGGAACUGAGACACGGUCCAGACUCCUACGGGAGGCAGCAGUGGGGAAUAUUGGACAAUGGGCGCAAGCCUGAUGCAGCCAUGCCGCGUGUAUGAAGAAGGCCUUCGGGUUGUAAAGUACUUUCAGCGAGGAGGAAGGUGUUGAGGUUAAUAACCUCAGCGAUUGACGUUACUCGCAGAAGAAGCACCGGCUAACUCCGUGCCAGCAGCCGCGGUAAUACGGAGGGUGCAAGCGUUAAUCGGAAUUACUGGGCGUAAAGCGCACGCAGGCGGUCUGUUAAGUCAGAUGUGAAAUCCCCGGGCUCAACCUGGGAACUGCAUUUGAAACUGGCAGGCUUGAGUCUUGUAGAGGGGGGUAGAAUUCCAGGUGUAGCGGUGAAAUGCGUAGAGAUCUGGAGGAAUACCGGUGGCGAACGCGGCCCCCUGGACAAAGACUGACGCUCAAGUGCGAAAGCGUGGGGAGCAAAC
rnacentral:rRNA from 1 species